ACCAUGACGAUGCCUAGUACGGCGAGUGAGCGGCAACAGCUCAAAUUUGAAAGCUAGCCUUCGGGUUCGCAUUGUAAUUUGUAGAGGAUGAUUUGGGGAAGCCGCCUGUCUAAGUUCCUUGGAACAGGACGUCAUAGAGGGUGAGAAUCCCGUAUGUGACAGGAAAUGGCACCCUAUGUAAAUCUCCUUCGACGAGUCGAGUUGUUUGGGAAUGCAGCUCUAAAUGGGAGGUAAAUUUCUUCUAAAGCUAAAUAUUGGCGAGAGACCGAUAGCGCACAAGUAGAGUGAUCGAAAGAUGAAAAGCACUUUGGAAAGAGAGUUAAAAAGCACGUGAAAUUGUUGAAAGGGAAGCGCUUGCAAUCAGACUUGUUUAAACUGUUCGGCCGGUCUUCUGACCGGUUUACUCAGUUUGGACAGGCCAGCAUCAGUUUCGGCGGCCGGAUAAAGGCUCUGGGAAUGUGGCCUCCACUUCGGUGGAGGUGUUAUAGCCCAGGGUGUAAUACGGCCAGCCGGGACUGAGGUCCGCGCUUCGGCUAGGAUGCUGGCGUAAUGGUUGUAAGCGACCCGUCUUGAAACACGGACCCA
rnacentral:rRNA from 1 species